rnacentral:lncRNA from 1 species
UGACAUCAGCUCCAGCGCAGAAGAGGGCUCAGCCUGCCCGCAGGUAUGAAAACGAGCAAUACCUCGGACACUGCGCAUGUGUUAUUUCAGGAGACCAUCUGAGUGCCCACCCCAUGACUGACUCCAUAAGCACGAGAUGACUUCAUCCUCAAAUCCUGAAGCUCUGGGAGUGUUCUACCCUCUGCUCUGUCAGCAGGAACCCUGCCCAUCUUGGAAGAUGU